ACGAGCCCUGCACCACAACCGUGCUGGUUAGAAGAGCCAUCGACGAAUAAUAUCCAGUGGGCGAGGUCUUUUUCUGAGGUUGGUUCUUUAGGAAUUCCCGCUUCAGGAGGAGCCGUUUCUGGUUGUGGAGUGUCUUCAUGGGUGGAUUCGACAAUGAAAUCAGCCAGGGCCUGAGCUUUUAUUGCCGUCCUCAGCCUGUACUCAAUGUGGAACUCACUUAGCUCGAUGGACCAUU
rnacentral:lncRNA from 1 species